rnacentral:rRNA from 1 species
CCUACGGGAGGCAGCAGUGAGGAAUAUUGGUCAAUGGACGCAAGUCUGAACCAGCCAUGCCGCGUGCAGGAAGACGGCCCUAUGAGUUGUAAACUGCUUUUGUACGGGGGUAAACGCAGAUACGCGUAUCUGUCUGUCAGUAUCGUACGAAUAAGGAUCGGCUAACUCCGUGCCAGCAGCCGCGGUAAUACGGAGGAUUCAAGCGUUAUCCGGCUUUAUUGGGGUUAAAGGGUGCGUAGGCGGUCGGAUAAGUUAGAGGGGAAAGCCCGAGGCUCAACUUCGGAAUUGCCUCUGACACUGUUCGGCUAGAGAGUAGUUGCGGUAGGCGGAAUUGAUGGGGUAGCGGUGGAAUG